CCCAGGACUGCUUGGGAGUCCGUGGACACCUGGUUAAGGAUUCCUAUGGACAGAUCAAUUAACCCAAGGGCUCCAGGAGAUGCAGAUCAAAGACCGCCACACAAGAAAGAGGCCACACAGAUAAAGAGCCCAGGACCUGCUGUCAGACCUCCCCAGAUUCAGAUUCUUAGGCCUGCCCCUUAUAGGCUGUGUGACCUCGGACAAGUUCCUUAUUUACUCUGAGCCUGAGUGUCCUCGCUCGUAAAAUGGGUCUAACAACGACCACCUCCAAGAAAGAUCACGAUGCUGAAAUGACUCAGAACAGUGCCUGGAGUGGAAGAGCUGCUGGGAAAAUAAUAACUGCUAUUUCUACAUCAGUUAUGCCAGUUCUUUUUGACCUAAGAAACUCCAGCGCUUUUAAUACAAUCAAACUGGGUUAUUGGUGACUUACAGAGGAGACCCUAGGCAGGUAACUAUUGAACCUUGAAAACCGUAACAUGGACACAGAGUAGAGAGCCCAUUUAUCUCAACUGGAUUCUUCUCAGUGGACUUCGAGCUUCUUAUCAGAAAAACACUUUGAUGACAGCGCUUAGUGCUUAACAGCUUAAGAGCAGUUCAAACAUGCGCCAGAGGCUUGCUGAGGAGGCCCGCCCUCCAGAUUCUGCAAAUAGAUACACUGGGGUGUGACAUUCUUAACCCUGUCUUUAAUACAACUGCCACAUCCCAGCGUUCCUUGACAGACUGUGGAGCACACCUAAGCCACCUUGCUUGCCAUAGGGUUUGGCUCCAUGACCUUGAUGUGAGUUCAUAGAUUUGUUUGCAGUUGUGAAAAUUAAAUGAGAGAGCGAGAUUUCAUUGUGUGUGUGGAGUGUGUGUGUGUGUGUUGGGGGAGGGAGGAGAACAAACGAUUUUAAAUUCAGCCUAAAAUUAAAUGCACAUUGGAUGCAUGCCAAACGGACUCCACAACCACCAGACUUUGCAAGUUUCAACGAUUUCCAAGUCCUUCCUUUGUUUUUUUUUCUUUUUUUGAGACGGAGUCUCACUGUGUCGCCAGGCUGGAGUGCAGUGGUGCGAUCUUGGCUCACUGCAAGCUCUGCCUCCCAGGUUCAAGCAAUUCUCCUGCCUCAGCCUCCUGAGUAGCUGGGAUUACAGGCACGCACUACCACGCCCAGCUAAUUUUUGUAUUUUUAGUAGAGAUGGGGUUUCACUAUGUUGGCCAGGAUGGUCGCAAUCUCCUGACCUCAUGAUCCGUCUGCCUUGGCCUCCCAAAGUGCUGGGAUUACAGGCAUGAGCCACUGUGCCCAGCCUGCAAGCCCUUCUUCUGCCGAGUGCUAUGCUAGUUUCUAGAAGAAGAGGGAUGUUACUCAUUCAUCUGCUAUGCAUGGUCCACUAUGUUCCAAGGUGGGAGACGUGUACAGAGGUGAGCACCUCCAGCCUUCAGGCCACUUAUAUUCCCAGGUGUAGGUGAUAGAUAGGCAAAUGCGUGCACUCUGGUUGUUGAAGAUGUAGAGCAAUUGGACUCCUCCUGCACCACUUGUGGUCAUGUAAAAUGGUAUGGCCACUUUGGAGAACAUUCUGGCAGUUCCCUGUUUGGUUAAAUAUAGAGUUACCAUAUCACCCAGCAAUUCCACUCCUAGGUAUUUUACCCAAGAGAAAUGAAAACACAUGUUCACACACAGACUUGCACAUGACUGUUUAUAGCAGCAAUAUUCACAAUAGACAGAAGGUGGAAACAACCCAAAUGUCCAUUACAGGAUGAAUGGAUAAACAAAAUGUAGCAUAUGCAUACAAUUGCUUAUCCAUAAAAAGAAAUGAGGUUCUGACACAUGCUGUAAUAUGGAUGAACCUUGAACAUUACAGUAAGCGAAAGAAGCCAGUCACAGAGACCAUAUAUUUUAUAAUUCCAUUUAUAUGAAAUGCCCAGAAUGGGUCAAUCAUUAGAGACAGAAAGUAGGUUAGUGCUUGUUCAGGGAUGGGAGGACAUGAAGGAAGAGGGUAAUAACGGAAGGGUUUGGGCUUUCUUGAAGUGAUGAAAAUGUUCUAAGGUCAAUGGUGGUGGUGGUUUUACAAUUCUGCGAAUGUACUAAAAACCAUUGGAUUGUACGGUUUAAAUAGAUGAAUGAAAUGAUAUGUGAAUUAUAUAUCCAAAAAUGCUGUUAAAAACAAAACAAGUAUAUCCCGGACCAUCAGAGAGAAAAUAGAGUAGGAGUGUCUAAAUCUUUUUGUGUUGCUGUAAAGGAACACCACAGGAUGGAUAAUUUACAAAGGGAAGAGUUGGGAGGCCAAGGUGGGAGGACCACUUGAACCCAGGGCUUUGAGACCAGCCUGGGUAGCAGAGCGAGACCCUAUCUCUGUAAAAAAUUUAAAAAUUAGCCAGGCGUGGUGGUGCAUGCCUGUGAUUUCAGCUGCUCGGAAGGCCGAGACAGGAGGAUUGCUUGAGCCCAGGAGGCCAAGGGUGCAGUGAGCCAUGAUCAUGCCACUUCACUCCAGCCUCAGUGACAGAGUGAUACCCUGUCUCAAAAAAAGAAAAGAAGCUUAUUGACCUAGGGUUCUGCAGGCUGUACAAGAAGCAUGGCACCAGUAUUUACAUCUGGUGAGGACCUCAGGUUGCUUCCACUCAUGGCGGAAGGGAAAGGGGAGCUGGUGGGUGCAGAGGUCACAUGACACAAGAGAAAGCAAGAGAGAUAGGAAGAGGUGCCAGGCUCUUUUAAGCAACCAGCUGUCAAGGGAACUAACAGAGUGAGAACACACUCACUAUAGCAAGGAUGGCACCAACACACUCAUUGGGGGUCCACCCCCAUGGCCCCAAUGCCUCCUGCUAGGCCCCACCUCCAACACUGGGGAUGAGAUUACAACAUGAGACUUGGAGGGGAGAACUAUCUAAACUGUAUCAAGGAACCUAGGCAUGGGGGCUCACGCCUGUAAUCGCAGCACUUUGGGAGGCCAAGGCAAGCUGAGGUCAGGAGUUCGAGACCAGCCUGGCCAACAUGGUGAAACCCCAUCUCUACUAAAAAUACAAAAAUUGGCUGGGUGUGAUGGAACACACCUGUAGUGCCAGCUGCUCGGGAGGCUGAGGUGGGAGGAUUGCUUGAACCCAGGAGGCAGAGGUUGCAGUGACCCCAGAUUGCACCACUGCACUCCAAUCUGAGGGAUACAGUGAGAUCCCAUCUCACUGUAUUUGUGUGUGUAUUUGACCUAAAAUGAGUUAAUAAGAGUUGGACUUGCUACAAAAGCACCACCAAUGUUUCCAAUUUUUCAGCCACGUUUUUUGUUAUUGUUUUUUGUUUGCUUGAGAUAGGUCUUGCUUUGUCAUCCAGGGUGGAGUGCAAUGGUGCAAUCUCGGCUCACUGCAGCCUUGACCCCCUGGGCUCAAGCAAUCCUCCCACUUCACCCUCCUGAGUAGCCGGGACUACAGGGGCAGGCCACUACACCCUUCAGCCACGUUUCCAAAGUGGGGAGGAUGGUUAGGAUGCCUGGGUUCUGCCACAGUUUGUGAUAAGGUCACUGAUGAGGUGAUCAAUUGAGUCAGGAAGGCCUGUGGGAUCAGUGAUACAGAGGAGGACUGUGGAGUUGAGAGUCCUCAGCUGGAGUUCUGGCUCCAAGAUUGCUGGACCCUGGGCUCACCCCAGCACUUAAGAGCUGGUUGUUAAGUUUUCAGGAAUUUCACAAGCUGGUUGUUAAACACAAUCUUUAAAAAAAUUAAAUUCUACAAACUAAAAUUUAUUUUAUUUUAUGUAUAUGUAUAUAAAAAGAGAGAGGACAGGGCUUCACUCUGCCACCCAGGCUGGUGCGCAAUGGCGCGACCAUGGCUCACUGCCUCCUGAUUCUCCCACCUCAGUCUCCCAAGUAGCUGGGACUACAGGCGCAUGCCACCACACCUGGCUAAUUUUUUGUAUUAUUUGAAGAAAUGAGGUUUCACUAGAUUGCCAGGGCUGGUCUCAAACUCCGGGAGUCAAGCAGUCCUCCCGCCUCAGCCUCCUAAAUUGUUGGGAGUAUAGGCAUGAGCCACUGCACCCGGCCCAAACUUAAAUUUAAAUAAAUGAUAUUAAAACCAAAGGAUGCGGGGCGCGGUGGCUCACGCCUGUAAUCCCAGCACUUUGGGAGACUGAGUGGGGUGGAUCACUUGAGGUCAGGAGUUCGAGACCAGCCUGGCCAACAUGGUAAAACCCCUGUCUCUACUAAAAAAUACAAAAAAUUAGCCGGGCAUGGUGGUAGAAGUCUGUAAUCCCAGCUACUCGGGAGGCUGAGGCAGGAGAAUCGCUUGAACCCGGGAGGCAGAAGUUGCAGUGAGCUGAGAUCACACCAUUGCACUCCAGCCUGGGCAACAAGAGCAAAACUCCAUCUCAAAAAUAAAUAAAAAAAUAAAAUUAAAAAUAAAACCAAAGGAUAUUCCAAGUGACAUAAUCUAGACACAGAAGGACAAAUACUGUACUACUCCGUUUAUAUGAGGUGGAUCUAUUUAAGUGAAGUCUUACAAUAAUCUAAAAUAGGCCAAUUCAUAAAGACAGAAAAUAGAAGAGAAAUUCCUAGGGGCUGGAAGGAGGGAAAAGGGAACAGGCAGUUAGUUUUUAACGAGUUGGUGUUUGGGAUGAUUUAAAAGAAAAUUUCUGAAAGCAGUGGUGAUGUUGAUGCAACAUUGUGACUAUACUUAAUGCCACUGAAUUACACACUAGUUAAAAUGGUAAAUGUCAUGCUUUGUACAUUUUAUCACACACACACACACAAAAAAUUUAGGCCGGGCACGGUGGCUCACACCUGUAAUCCCAGCACUUUGGGAGGCUGAGGCAGGCAGAUCACGAUGUCAGG
rnacentral:lncRNA from 1 species